rnacentral:lncRNA from 1 species
ACUGUGAAGUCACAAGAGGCCCUGAGCUCUGUGGGCCCCAGGUGCCCCGGGAAAACUUGGGGGAGAAUGGGCAUCCCACCCCAGCACUUUCUAGGAAGAAGGGCAGCAUUUUGAAGGGCUGGAAGUAGAGGAAGGAGGUUGCGGGUAGAAGACUCCAUACUUUCUGUGACGCCUAUUCCUUAGGUAGGAACUUAGGAACCUCAGUCAGAGGCAUGGCUUGCCUGGGCCUCUGGGUGCAGCUGCACAGAUUCAAGCAGCCUGAAGGAAAGGUGACUGACAGCUAAUGAUCUGAAAAGAACUUGUCUCAACUCAACGUCAUUCCUGGCAUUAUCGAACAAAGCAAUAAACCUCACAGAAUGGAAGCUACAGUGUCCAGGGCCAGCUCUGCUAAGGUAACCAAAGACAGAGAAGGAGGCAAAAGUGACAGAAGAAACUCAUGGGAAACCAACAGAAAUAUAAUGGCUUUGGCAGAAAUGCAAUUAUCAAUUGGGAGCUUGUGAUGAAUGUUUUCUCAGUAUCCUAUGCUGAAAACAGGUAGAUACUAAUAUCGAUCUUCAAGGGAGGGCUGUUGAGUAUUGAAUAAGACAAAAACAUGGAAGCAAUCAGCACCAUGCUGAACAACAGAAGUUUCAACAUUCUGCCAACAGAGUAACUCCUGGAAGAUUGGCACAGAAGAAGGCACAAGGAGAGCCUUUAUAUAACCAAAGAUAUUUUUGGACCAUGAAUUCAGAAAUUCUCGGAGCCACCCAUCAGUGCCUGAGCUUCAGUGAGUCCAUAUCCCAUGUCACCCACGGCAAAGGAGACUCUAAGACUUCUGAAGAGUUUCUUGCUUCUUUCCUGUGGGGCAGUGACUCCACUUCCCAGCAGUAAUGGAAUAUCCUGAAUUAGCUACAUUAAUGUUAGAACCAUUUGGACCUCACCCAGGACUUCAACUACAUUAUGGUUCUAGUAUGUUACGUUUAUGUUCCCCUGCUUUCUACAAUCCUGUUCAAAGAGUUGCUGACUUAACCACAGAGAGGAUUCCAGAACCUGAGACACAGAAUAAACUUGAGCAAUCAUAGUCCAUCCACUUCAUUGUCUCAUCAAAAACCAAAGGUCCAGUGAAGCUCUGGAACUCAACGCUGUAAAGGAGCGAAGGAGCUUCUAUACAGAGCCUGGAUGCCUGUCUCCUUAUCCUACUUCAGUGGACUUGACUGCAAUCCGGAUUAUGCUGUUUUCUAAGCAUUUAAAAUAAAAUAAAAAGUAUAAUAGUGUGAUAAGUUCUUUCACAAAGCAAGCAAUCACAUUUAUGUUUCUACUUACAUUUGGGUUUUCCAAAUAUGUGUGUGUGUGUGUGUGUGUGUGUGUGUGUGUGUAUGUAGACUUUAAACAUGGUGCAUCCAUCAUGUUGCACUAAAUCAAAACCACCAAAUAAUGAUGUAGAACUAAUAAAUCAAAACCAUCAAAUAAUGACAUAGAAAUCCAAUUCUCCCACCUUACACCCAUUAAGAUGGCUACU